rnacentral:tRNA from 1 species
CGUUCUCGUGGUCCAGCCGGAAGAGGGUCUGCGCCAACUCCGGGUCGUCGUAGCGCUGUUGCAGUCCGCGCAGGGCGUCC